UCGGACCUGAUAUCAGGCAAUAAUGGCCC
rnacentral:rRNA from 1 species